GUUUGGUCCGUAGUCCCUGUGAAU
rnacentral:piRNA from 1 species